rnacentral:rRNA from 1 species
AGGUUGAUAUUCCUGUACCACCUCUUUAUCGUUUGAGCAAUGGAGGGACGCAGAAGGAUAGAAGAAGCGUGCGAUUGGUUGUGCACGUCCAAGCAGUUAGGCUGAUAAGUAGGCAAAUCCGCUUAUCAUAAAGGCUGAGCUGUGAUGGGGAAGCUCCUUAUGGAGCGAAGUCUUUGAUUCCCCGCUGCCAAGAAAAGCUUCUAGCGAGAUAAAAGGUGCCUGUACCGCAAACCGACACAGGUAGGCGAGGAGAGAAU